rnacentral:misc_RNA from 1 species
AACUUUUGGCAAUGGAUCACUUGGCUCUCGCAUCGAUGAAGAACGCAGCGAAAUGCGAUAAGUAAUGUGAAUUGCAGAAUUCAGUGAAUCCUCGAAUCUUUGGACGCAACUUGCGCCCUUUGGCUAUUCCGAAGGGCAUGCCUGUUUGAGUAUCAUGAAAACCUCAACUCUCAUGGCUUGCCAUGAUGAGCUUGGCCUCUGGGGGUCUUGCUGGCUCAUGGUCAGCUCUUCUUUAAUGAAUCAGCCUUCCAGUGUUUUGUGGCAUCACAGGUGUGAUAACUAUCUACUCUCGUGGUGUCCUACCAGGAUAACCUUCAGUGAUGGAGGUCGCUGGAGCUAAUAAAUGCACAUCGCUCAUGGUAGAGAUGCACCUUUAGAAGUUUGAUCUCAAAUCAGGUAGGACUACCCGCUGAACUUAAGCAUAUCAAUAAGCGGAGGCU